rnacentral:rRNA from 1 species
CGAACGCUGGCGGCGUGCUUAACACAUGCAAGUCGAACGCGAAAGGGACUUGGUCCUGAGUAAAGUGGCGCACGGGUGAGUAACGCGUAGAUAACCUGUCUUCAUGUCUGGAAUAAUACGCCGAAAGGGGUACUAAUACCGGAUAUUCUUGCUUUUCAUAAGUUAUGCAAGCAAAGGUGGCCUCUGCAUAUGCUACUGCAUGAAGAGGGGUCUGCGUACCAUUAGCUAGUAGGUGGGGUAAUGGCCUACCUAGGCGACGAUGGUUAGCGGGUCUGAGAGGAUGAUCCGCCACACUGGCACUGGAACACGGGCCAGACUCCUACGGGAGGCAGCAGUGAGGAAUAUUGCGCAAUGGGGGAAACCCUGACGCAGCGACGCCGCGUGAGUGAGGAAGGCCUUCGGGUCGUAAAGCUCUGUCAAGAGGAAAGAAGUGUACAAUGGCUAAUACCUGUUGUAUUUGACGGUACCUCUAAAGGAAGCACCGGCUAACUCCGUGCCAGCCGCCGC